CUAAGUGAUCUCUUUGGUCUCUCCCAAAUCUUGGAUUGUACGAUUUGGAGUUGUGUUUUAAUGUUACACAUUAUUUCCAAAACAUAACAAAGUAGAUGAGUGUUCUUAUAAUCUGUGCCUUUGGAUUGUCUUAUGACCAGUGCAUGACAGUAGUGGGUGAUAAAUGAAUCACUUAGCAAGUGACAGUCUGUAUUAGUCUAUACCAAUAACAAAAGUCAUUCUCUACCACCAGGGGAAUCUUAUGAUUCUUCACUGUUGGAGAAAAUCUACACCAAGAAACAAACAAAUGAAGUCAGCAAGUUGAUGCAGAGUGAAGGCAAGAGUUAAGACUAGGAGAAAAGCAGCAUCACAAAGAAGCAAACCAUGGAGCAAAAGAUGUCCCGCGGAUGCAUUGCACAUAACACCAUGGGUCAAGUGUAAUACUACCGUGUCAGUUCCGUGUUGAGCGAAGGUAUUCUGAUGCAUGCUAAAGCUUGGGAAAAAUACACUGGAGAAGGAGCACUGUCUUACCUGUCUGACUGUAUGAUUUCUUUUGUUCCUGGAGUCUGCAGCAGGUCAACAUGAGAGUUCAGAGAUCGAGAACAUGGCAACCUGCCCAGAACCAAGAUGGAAGGAAAACUCAGCAGGCCCCAUUUCAAGCAUAUUUGCCUUGACGGAGUCCCAGAUAAUGUCCCUACAA